AAAUGCAACCGGAAUUGUGAAUUAUCCGGAUGUUUCCAAGUGGCCUAUUCAAACGUAUGACAUGCCAAAACAACAUGAUGGGAAUUCGUGUGGAAUAUUUCUCCUUCGAUGCUUUCAAUAUUGGGAUGGUGACAAAUGGACAGGCUUAUUUUCACAGACCUCAAUUGAUGAUUCGAGAGAGUUAAUGAUUGCGCAACUUAUCUUUUCGGAAAGAAACAAGCUUGAUGAAGUGAAAAACAAAGUUAUUCGGAUAUCAAAGAAGAAGAAAUAGA